CAGCAGCCGCGGGAAUACGUAGGGUGCGAGCGUUAAUCGGAAUUACUGGGCGUAAAGCGUGCGCAGGCGGUUAUAUAAGACAGAUGUGAAAUCCCCGGGCUCAACCUGGGACCUGCAUUUGUGACUGUAUAGCUAGAGUACGGUAGAGGGGGAUGGAAUUCCGCGUGUAGCAGUGAAAUGCGUAGAUAUGCGGAGGAACACCGAUGGCGAAGGCAAUCCCCUGGACCUGUACUGACGCUCAUGCAUGAAAGCGUGGGGAGCAAACAGGAUUAGAUACCCCAGUAGUCCCUGUCUCUUAUAC
rnacentral:rRNA from 1 species